rnacentral:rRNA from 1 species
GAUGAACGCUGGCGGCGUGCCUAAUACAUGCAAGUCGAGCGAACAGACGAGGAGCUUGCUCCUCUGACGUUAGCGGCGGACGGGUGAGUAACACGUGGAUCACCUACCUAUAAGACUGGGAUAACUUCGGGAAACCGGAGCUAAUACCGGAUAAUAUAUUGAACCGCAUGGUUCAAUAGUGAAAGACGGUGUUGCUGUCACUUCUAGAUGGUUCCGCGCCGCAUUAGCUAGUUGGUAAGGUAACGGCUUACCAAGGCAACGAUGCGUAGCCGACCUGAGAGGGUGAUCGGCCACCCUGGAACUGAGACACGGUCCAGACUCCUACGGGAGGCAGCAGUAGGGAAUCUGCCGCAAUGGGCGAAAGCCUUACGGAGCAACGCCGCGUGAGUGAUGAAGGUCUUCGGAUCGUAAAACUCUGUUAUUAGUGAAGAACAAAUGUGUAAGUAACUAUGCACGUCUUGACGGUACCUAAUCAGAAAGCCACGGCUAACUACGUG